CAGCAGCCGCGGGAAAACGAAGGGGGCUAGCGUUGUUCGGAAUUACUGGGCGUAAAGCGCACGUAGGCGGAUAUUUAAGUCAGGGGUGAAAUCCCAGAGCUCAACUCUGGAACUGCCUUUGAUACUGGGUAUCUUGAGUAUGGAAGAGGUGAGUGGAAUUCCGAGUGUAGAGGUGAAAUUCGUAGAUAUUCGGAGGAACACCAGUGGCGAAGGCGACUCACUGGUCCAUUACUGACGCUGAGGUGCGAGAGCGUGGGGAGCAAACAGGAUUAGAUACCCCAGUAGUCCCUGUCUCUUAUAC
rnacentral:rRNA from 1 species